UGAUGUCAUAGAGUGCACCAUGAUUGCCAUGCUCCUUGGUGAUACUGAGAUGCCAGGAUUAGGGUGACCAGGCUGGAGAGCCCUUUGAAUUAAGCAAACGUUGUGUAUAGCUGAAGAAGUCCUGUUGAAGUGAUAGGCUGGGUUAGGAAGCAUAUUGCAACAUUCACUUAAAUCCUUACCACAACUUCCAAGAAGUAAAAUGCCAUAAAGAGAAGAUAAAGCUGAAUUUGGAAGGAUGGAGUAUCUUGAGUUGCCACUUUGGAUAUGAUGGACAAGUCUUUCUUGGAAUGUAUUCCC